UGCAAGUCGAACGAUGAAGCCUAGCUUGCUGGGUGGAUUAGUGGCGAACGGGUGAGUAACACGUGAGUAACCUGCCCUUGACUCUGGGAUAAGCGCUGGAAACGGCGUCUAAUACCGGAUAUGACCUGCCCCGGCAUCGGGUGUGGGUGGAAAGUUUUUCGGUCAAGGAUGGACUCGCGGCCUAUCAGCUUGUUGGUGAGGUAAUGGCUCACCAAGGCGACGACGGGUAGCCGGCCUGAGAGGGUGACCGGCCACACUGGGACUGAGACACGGCCCAGACUCCUACGGGAGGCAGCAGUGGGGAAUAUUGCACAAUGGGCGAAAGCCUGAUGCAGCAACGCCGCGUGGGGGAUGACGGCCUUCGGGUUGUAAACCUCUUUUAGUAGGGAAGAAGGGCUUCGGCUUGACGGUACCUGCAGAAAAAGCACCGGCUAACUACGUGCCAGCAGCCGCGGUAAUACGUAGGGUGCAAGCGUUGUCCGGAAUUAUUGGGCGUAAAGAGCUCGUAGGCGGUUUGUCGCGUCUGCUGUGAAAACCCGAGGCUCAACCUCGGGCCUGCAGUGGGUACGGGCAGACUAGAGUGCGGUAGGGGAGAAUGGAAUUCCUGGUGUAGCGGUGGAAUGCGCAGAUAUCAGGAGGAACACCGAUGGCGAAGGCAGUUCUCUGGGCCGUUACUGACGCUGAGGAGCGAAAGCGUGGGGAGCGAACAGGAUUAGAUACCCUGGUAGUCCACGCCGUAAACGUUGGGAACUAGAUGUGGGGGCCUUUCCACGGUCUCCGUGUCGCAGCUAACGCAUUAAGUUCCCCGCCUGGGGAGUACGGCCGCAAGGCUAAAACUCAAAGGAAUUGACGGGGGCCCGCACAAGCGGCGGAGCAUGCGGAUUAAUUCGAUGCAACGCGAAGAACCUUACCAAGGCUUGACAUAUACCGGAAACUUCCAGAGAUGGUUGCCCCGCAAGGUCGGUAUACAGGUGGUGCAUGGUUGUCGUCAGCUCGUGUCGUGAGAUGUUGGGUUAAGUCCCGCAACGAGCGCAACCCUCGUUCUAUGUUGCCAGCACGUUAUGGUGGGAACUCAUAGGAGACUGCCGGGGUCAACUCGGAGGAAGGUGGGGAUGACGUCAAAUCAUCAUGCCCCUUAUGUCUUGGGCUUCACGCAUGCUACAAUGGCCGGUACAAAGGGCUGCGAUACCGUAAGGUGGAGCGAAUCCCAAAAAGCCGGUCUCAGUUCGGAUUGAGGUCUGCAACUCGACCUCAUGAAGUCGGAGUCGCUAGUAAUCGCAGAUCAGCAACGCUGCGGUGAAUACGUUCCCGGGCCUUGUACACACCGCCCGUCAAGUCAUGAAAGUCGGUAACACCCGAAGCCAGUGGCCUAACCGUAAGGA
rnacentral:rRNA from 1 species